GCCCGCCGGGCUACUGCUGGGUGUGGUUGUGGCCGUUGACGGCGGCAGUCGGCCUGGGCAGGUGCCGGCGGAUCGUGUCCUCCGACAGGCG
rnacentral:tRNA from 1 species